AUUGAACGCUGGCGGCAGGCCUAACACAUGCAAGUCGAACGAGUGGCGGACGGGUGAGUAAUGUCUGUGAAACUGCCUGAUGGAGGGGGAUAACUACUGGAAACGGUAGCUAAUACCGCAUACCAUCGGAUGUGCCCAGAUGGGAUUAGCUAGUAGGUGGGGUAAAGGGUCACCUAGGGGACGAUCCCUAGCUGGGCUGAGAGGAUGACCAGCGACACUGGAACUGAGACAAGGUCCAGACUCCUACGGGAGGCAGGAGUGGGGAAUAUGGGACAAGGGGCGCAAGCCUGAUGCAGCCAUGCCGCGUGUAUGAAGAGGGCCUUCGGGUUGUAAAGUACUAUAAGCGGGGAGGCGUUACCCGCAGAAGAAGCACCGGCUAACUCCGUGCCAGCCGCCGCGGUAAUUC
rnacentral:rRNA from 1 species